rnacentral:lncRNA from 1 species
GUAUUCAUGCUGGAGACUGUAUUCUUUUACGGAUGCAAUUAGGAUCUGAGACCAGUUUGAAUACAUGUGUUCUAGAAACCGCGGAAGGAUGCUGCGCAAGUAAGACUCCAUGGCCAUCUCCAAUAUGAGAGGAAAUUUGCAUCUCCGAUGAGCACUAAAGAAAACCAAAUACUUUUUUUAAUCGACACAUUUUCCAUUAUUAUAUACGUAUAAAGAAGAUGAGUAAUAAGCCACAUCAGAUGGUUUAUUCAAACUGUCAGAAGAAGGGGAUGAAGCAUGAGUAACUCCAGAGAAGCGUCUGAGAACUGGAGCAGUAGAAAAACGACAGCGAGCAGCCAAACGUUCCUUCGUUCGUUUACUACCAAGUCAUCCCUGAGAGUCUUGCAGAAACAAAAGCCACUUCCUCCCCCUACCCCCACCCCAGUGCAUGGUGGGAUAUUUCCGGGGGAGAUGAAGAUUCUCACCCCGUUGUAAUAAGUAACUGUCUUUCCAGCCAUCAUUCCGUAUUGACAAGUAAAUGUCAUCCGUGUGUGAUUGACAUCUAUUGCUCCUGAAUGCCGGAGUGUGAUUUAGGAAUCGAUUCUACUUAUUUAUUUUAAACCAUUCUUCUAUGUCAAACAUAUUUGCUGGAGGCUGUGGAAGCAAAUGCUAAGGAAAAAAAAAAAAAAAAAAAAAAAAAACCCGCGCACAGCUACUGUCUGGAAAAUCGGAGAGAGCCCUCCUUAUGUUAAAAGUGGCAUUUUGAAAAACACCUGAAGCACUGAUUGUGGAUGAGCCAGGGGAGAAAUGUUGUCAUCAAACCUCCCUCCCUUUCAACCUUCACUUCCACCUCCAACGAGAGAGCUGCUGGCACUGGGGAAAUAGAUUUAGGUGUGACCCUUGAGUCCUGAGAGCAGUUACACAGCUGUCUCCCUCCCCCUAGUAUGACCAGCUAGGGAGCUGCCAUCGUCUGGGUUAGGCGAGGAAGUAUUCAGGAUUUCACUGUUCAUCCCUAGCAGGGGGAGGGGGGGUGGUGGUGGAAAGAGAGGCCGAAAAAAAAAAAAAUCCCACAUUGUCAGAGUAAUGCCAAACUCUGUGUGAGUGGGAUGAGCAGAGCAGCUGCUGCAGAGAGAUGCCAAAGCGGCUCCCCUUCCUCUGUGCCUUGGGUUCCUAUAAAUUGCUCCGGCGCGCGUUUGUCAGCCUCCUCUUCUCCUGGCAGGUGGUACCCAGGCAGAAUUCUGCGUUCAGCCUCUCUCGUUCAGCUUUCGGCAGUGAGGCUUUCGCUGCUGCUGUCUAGCACCUAUCUCCGUCCCUGAGCUUCUCUGAGCCGCGGAUACUGCGAAUCGCCGCUGCUCCGCGCAUCUCGGGGGCUGCCCGACCCGAGCUUCUGCAGCCCUCUAGGGCUUUGGGGGUGCGCUUCUAUUAGAGUUGUGGUGGCUGCAAAAGAAAAAAAAAAAGA